CAAUUGAAAUGGAUUGACAGUUGAUCAGCUGUUUUUCCAAUUGACUUCGAUCGAUUUCUAUCAGGCUGCUGAAUGAACAGCCAGACACUAAUACUAAAACGCUGUGUUUGUUGCCAUCUGUCAUUUUCUUAUUUAUGAAUAAGAAAUACUGCAGCUGUGCGCUUCGAGGUUUCAGGAUUCUUAACUUAUAAAAAAGCAGCCGUUUUUCCUCCUUGUUUAUAAAAUAGAUACCAACAAAGCAUCGGGAAAAACUUGUAUAAAAACGAUGUCCAGAACACAUGAAUUCUUUCGUUGUCUACCUGCGCGUUCCUCAUCCAAAGCCUGAAGAUAAGGUUUCCGCCAAGAUAGAUGAGCUGCCAAAACAAGAGGGUAGGCAGAAAAAACGAUUCCGGAUUCCGGAACUGAAGGAAGUGUACUCACACCCAAAAUAAUUUGCACAUAGCUGCUACGUGAAAAACUACAUAAUUUUUAUCCAAUUGAUUUUCACGUAAAUUGUACGAAUAAAAUAGGUAAACACUCCCCUAAUAGGAAUUUUUGCUUGGUGAACAUCAAGUGCAACUUACGUGAAUUUUUAGUAUGUUCCGGUGAAGGAAGUGUUCCAGAGGCACCUGAAGUUCAAAAGCGAAAAAGGUCCCUAACUAGAACACCGGCACUUACUGGAAACUCACAACAGGCCCGCGGAUCACCUUCGUUUGACUGAGUGCAGAUUCAAUUCGAUGGCAUGCAGCGGAAAAUACGGUUGUUUAGCGAGUGGGAUCUUAGCACAUGUCGAAGCUGUGACUGUGGAGUACGAUCGGAUAGACCGAUCAUUGCUGUUAAAUAUCCACCAAAUGGCGACAAAACUCAAAAACAGCAUUCAGUGUUUAAGUCAUAUAUCAUGUUUUCUUAAGGACCCCGGUGGAACACAAACAGCAAUCUUCUUGAAAAAAAAAAUUUAUUUUAUAUUCUUUUAACAUUAAUUUUCAUUAUAUACAACCAAUAAACAAUUAAACAAGUGUGUUGUAUA